CUACGGGCGGCUACAGUGAGGAAUAUUGCACAAUGGGGGGAACCCUGAUGCAGCAACGCCGCGUGGAGGAUGACGCAUUUCGGUGUGUAAACUCCUUUUAUAUGUCAAGAAAAUGACGGUAGCAUAUGAAUAAGCACCGGCUAACUCCGUGCCAGCAGGCCGCGGUAAUACGGAGGGUGCAAGCGUUACUCGGAAUCACUGGGCGUAAAGGACGCGUAGGCGGGUUGGAAAGUCAGGUGUGAAAUCCUACAGCUUAACUGUAGAACUGCACUUGAAACUUCUAAUCUAGAGUAUGGGAGGGGGAGAUGGAAUUAGUGGUGUAGGGGUAAAAUCCGUAGAUAUCACUAGGAAUACCUAAAGCGAAGGCGAUCUCCUGGAACAUUACUGACGCUAAGGCGUGAAAGCGUGGGGAGCAAACAGGAUUAGAUACCCGCGUAGUC
rnacentral:rRNA from 1 species